UAGGGAAUCUUCCGCAAUGGACGAAAGUCUGACGGAGCAACGCCGCGUGAGUGAAGAAGGAUUUCGGUUCGUAAAACUCUGUUGUUAGGGAAGAAAAAAUGUAUAGUAACUAUAUACAAAAGAGACGGUACCUAACCAGAAAGCCACGGCUAACUACGUGCCAGCAGCCGCGGUAAUACGUAGGUGGCAAGCGUUGUCCGGAAUUAUUGGGCGUAAAGCGCGCACAGGUGGUUUAGAAAGUCUGAUGUGAAAGCCCACGGCUCAACCGUGGAGGGUCAUUGGAAACUAAUAAACUUGAGUGCAGGAGAGAAAAGUGGAAUUCCUAGUGUAGCGGUGAAAUGCGUAGAGAUUAGGAGGAACACCGGUGGCGAAAGCGGCUUUUUGGCCUGCAACUGACACUGAGGCGCGAAAGCGUGGGGAGCAAACAGG
rnacentral:rRNA from 1 species